UCCGGUGUGGUGUAUCGGUAACAUAUCCGCCUCUCAUGGGUCUGCGAGCAUCAAUAUGACGCGGUUGCGCGGGGUUCGAUUCCCCGCACCGGAA